rnacentral:rRNA from 1 species
AUUGAACGCUGGCGGCAGGCUUAACACACGCAAGUCGAGCGGAGUGAUGGUGCUUGCACUAUCACUUAGCGGCGGACGGGUGAGUAAUGCUUAGGAAUCUGCCAUUUAGUGGGGGACAACAUUCCGAAAGGAAUGCUAAUACCGCAUACGUCCUACGGGAGAAAGCAGGGGAUCUUCGGACCUUGCGCUAAAUGAUGAGCCUAAGUCGGAUUAGCUAGUUGGUGGGGUAAAGGCCUACCAAGGCGACGAUCUGUAGCGGGUCUGAGAGGAUGAUCCGCCACACUGGGACUGAGACACGGCCCAGACUCCUACGGGAGGCAGCAGUGGGGAAUAUUGGACAAUGGGCGGAAGCCUGAUCCAGCCAUGCCGCGUGUGUGAAGAAGGCCUUUUGGUUGUAAAGCACUUUAAGCGAGGAGGAGGCUACUAGUACUAAUACUACUGGAUAGUGGACGUUACUCGCAGAAUAAGCACCGGCUAACUCUGUGCCAGCCGCCGCUGUAAAAC